AUACGCAUUAUUGGCCGCGGAGACAAACUCUUUUAUAAUACACAAUACUUACUUGCUUGCUUGAUAACUGAAAUUAAAAAAGAAGUCCAAGAUGGAUUAGCUUCUUUUUCUUCUUCAAGCCAAGCUGGUAUCAGGUCGUAUUUGUCCUCCGGUGGGUAUCUACAAAACUAGGACCCUUCCUCGUUGUACGCCCAUGAUCGAGGAACGAAAUCCACCGCUUUUUUCCGUAGGAAGGAAAUAAUCCUCGAACUUGAUAACUAAGAACAUUGUGCUUUCGCGGAGCUCCAUGGUUAACCUCUUUAUCGAGGCGUAAUAGUUUACGUUGUCCAUGUAAAUAAACAAUUGCAAACGCACGAAAAGAAAAGUUCGAGAAAAUUUAUACGUUUAAAUUCGUUCUUAAAAAUCUCUAAUUUGAAACUGAUAAAGGUUUUAUGUAAUUACAGGUAAGAAUAGACAAAUCAAAUAUUUACUGUACACAAUUUAUUACUAAUAUACAAGAUAAAUAUAUUUAUUCCAUUUUAUAGCAACAAGAUUUCUUCAAUUUUAUCGAGAGCUUUUAUCGGACUAGAAAUUUACAUAUGUAGCAUUUGAAUAGCAUAAAAGCUUUCCCCGAAUUUUAAUUUCACACAUUUACUAGAUUAAUUAAAUUUUAAGCAAUUAAAAGUUCAUACAUGUUUUGAUUUUCGCGUAAUUUUUUCCACUCCAACAAAUUUAGAAUCGCAUGGAUAAUCGAACGCACUUUCGGAAUAUAAACAAAGCCUUGAAUUUUUAACUUCUUACCUUCAAAAAAUAACCGAUUGAUUUCAAAAAUUUUUUUACUAUUCAAAAAUACAAGAUUAUCUGGAGAUUUUGAUCGAAUCGUUGAUUGUUUAUACUUAACUUGUAGAAUUUCGCAAGCGUGCGGACCAAUUUUUUAAUUUGACCCAAACAGCUUUCAAACGGAAAUGCAGAGUAAGCUGAUAAUGGCGCUUUCAUGUAUCGAACAUCAUCUUCAUCUGCUACAUGAAUCAAAUUAUGAAAAUUCAUAACCUGAGUGUCUGUCCCAUACAUAGUAGGCAUCAGUGUAAAAAAUUUUCGUAAUAAUUCAUUAGCGUAAUCUGCAUACGGUACAGCCAAAUGUUCACUAAAAAGCACACGACUCGAUACAAAUAAAAGAAGCAAAUGUUUAUAUUUGUUAGUAGAUAUUAAUUUUUUGAAUAAAAAAGGUAAUGCGUAGAGUAGAACAAAUUGGAAUUGAGUUGCUUUCCAAUUACUCAAAUUUUUUAAGUCGAAACACUUUCUUUGAAACUCCAUUGGUAUGCCAUGAGUCAUUUUCUGAAGUAAAUCAUUGAGAGAAUUUUUUUGAGCUGCACUUAGUUUGUUUGAGUUACCAGGUUCUAUAAAUUUUUCGAAAAGUGAUUUCAUUACUCCAAGAUUAAAAAGAUACAUUGAGUCGAGAAAAACUUGUCUGACGGGAUCGAAUCCAGUAAUCAAAGUUAAAGGCGAAAUUGCAUUUUUAUGGUGUUCCGGUUGACUUUUAGCUAGAAACGAUUCUCUUGUUCUUAAAUCGCAAUCUAUCUGACUGUAUACUCGUCUUUUAUUUAUUAUAACACCUUUCACUAUGCACCUUACGCAAGCAAUGAAGCCACCAUGUCCUUUACAGCAUUUACAACCAACUAGCUGGAGUAUAAAAAGAUUUCUAUGGUAAAUUUUCAUUAAUAUGGGCCAAAAUUGUUUGUCUGAAUUCUUGUAUAUAAGCAUUCCAAUUAUGUUAACUAAAAUUUCGAUUUGAUCAUCAUUAUAAAUUUUAGGAUCUAUCAUCAGAGUUAAAACUUCGGCGAUUCCAAAAUACGCAUAUAGUCCAUUAUUUAAUUUAGCUAUUUUUAUAAUUCUUUUUUCGUUUGUAAAUUUCUUCGUUUUAAGUAAAGUUUCGGCGGUUCUUGGUAACUCGUCAUGACCCUCAGAGUAUAAAAUCUUCAAGAGUUGAGACGUCGUGGAAUUCCUUAAUGUAAAUAUAUUAUUUACGCACCAGUCUUGUAAUUUUUCCUUCAAAGUAAGAUUAUUUUUAUCUUGACAUUCGAUCUGCAAUAGGUAUAAAAAGCAUUAUAAAGUAUAAAAAAAUACCUUCGAUUAUUAAAAAUAAAUGUCGAUUAAUUAAUUUAAUAUUCGAUAGUGAAUUAUCUCUACCUCUAUCUAUCUCUAUACUGUGAGAUUUCUCAGUUAAUGCAAUUUCAUUACUUUGUGCAGAAUCUAAAGUGUCAACACUGCAAAUAUUACUUUCAGCAUCACUUUUCGUACACUGCAAACUGUCGAUACUGCAGACACUGUUAUCACGAGAAAUCGUAGUUUAGUCGACUCUAAAUUAUCGACAUCAAUCUUGUCUAUGCUGUAAAAUAAAAGUGAUAUAGAAAAUGAUCAAUUACGAAUUUAUAUGGAUACAACAAAUUUUAGUGUAACUAGAAAUAUUACUGUAUCUAUCAGGUUUUUUCUUCAGGCUCCAAGAAUCAACAGCGGACUCUAAUGAUGAUUUCGAUGAUGUCGAAGAGUCGCGUUUUAACCUCUUCAGAGCUCUACACUUUUUCACCAACGGCAAACUGUAUUGGACCAGUAUUGAAAUAAUUGAGAAAAUAAAAGCCUAUUGGGGAAUCUGGCAGGCGACAUUGGAGCGAUACUCUUUUCUAUUGUUUGGCCCGAUCUUAUCAUUUCGAUAUCGGAUACAAGCUUGGAUCAGUAAUGGCAAACAUAGCUACGGUGACCAGUAUUUAGCCAUUUUUGGGCCGUUAUGUCAGGGCUGACAGUUCUUCCAUGGGAAAAUGGGAGGAUACGAAAAUCGACGAUAACACUGGAAAGAUAGUGAAGACCAAUAUGUUUCACAUCCAUUACGGGGUAUCUGUACCGUACAAAAACUAGAAGAGAGCUAUAAAUGCUGCAACUUCAUAUAAAUUUUUACGUGAAUUAGUGGUACCUCACAUUUGGAGUUUGCGUGAAUUCGUACAAAGGGCUAUACAAAUAGAUAGGACCAACGAUCAAGAAGAAAGGGUGGGGUUAACUCCAAGGAAACGAGAAGCCUUAAAAAGAGGCUACGUCCAGUAUUGACUUGAACGAAAUAUAAUACCGUACAAGGUUUCAACGCAACGUAAUGCUAAAUCAAGAAAGGGGCGCAUAAAUAAAUUUGGGAGAGAAUUGGAAAUCAUAAUUUGUCAAGAAAGAUUAAAACUGUUGGACAGGCACGAUCAAGAAGCUGAGAAUUCAUCACAUUCGCCACGGAAACCAGAUGUUACUGAUUCUUAAAAUUUAUUAUGUUUAUAACUUUUGACUAUUAAGUGUUUAUGACAUUAUGAAUUCAAGAUGUUCAUUUAUUUUUAGAGACAUUCAAAGUUUAUUCUGCGAACUUCUAACACCUUUUUUUAGCAGGGUUUUUGUGAUACGUUAGAAUUAUCACUCUUUCAAAGAUAUGGAUUAAAAUGAUUAUUUAUUUUUCGUAAAUUGUUUUAGAUAGAUUCACAGUUUAUUCUGCGAAUAAUGUUUAACUGCAAAGAUAUUAA
rnacentral:lncRNA from 1 species